rnacentral:rRNA from 1 species
AUUGAACGCUGGCGGCAGGCCUAACACAUGCAAGUCGAGCGGGGUUUUCGGACCUAGCGGCGGACGGGUGAGUAAUGCGUAGGAAGCUACCCGAUAGAGGGGGAUACCAGUUGGAAACGACUGUUAAUACCGCAUAAUGUCUACGGACCAAAGUGUGGGACCUUCGGGCCACAUGCUAUCGGAUGCGCCUACGUGGGAUUAGCUAGUUGGUGGGGUAAUGGCUCACCAAGGCGACGAUCCCUAGCUGGUUUGAGAGGAUGAUCAGCCACACUGGAACAGAGACACGGUCCAGACUCCUACGGGAGGCAGCAGUGGGGAAUAUUGGACAAUGGGCGCAAGCCUGAUCCAGCCAUGCCGCGUGUGUGAAGAAGGCCUUCGGGUUGUAAAGCACUUUCAGUAGGGAGGAAGGGUGUUGUGUUAAUAGCACAGCAUUUUGACGUUACCUACAGAAGAAGCACCGGCUAACUCUGUGCCAGCAGCCGCCGUAACAC